rnacentral:rRNA from 1 species
AUACGUAGGGGGCAAGCGUUGUCCGGAAUUAUUGGGCGUAAAGAGCGCGUAGGCGGCUUUCCAAGUCCGGUGUGAAAUCUCAGGGCUUAACCCUGAGCCUGCAUUGGAAACUGGUUUGCUAGAGUUCGCUAGAGGAGAUUGGAAUUCCUGGUGUAGCGGUGAAAUGCGCAGAUAUCAGGAAGAACACCAGUGGCGAAGGCGGAUCUCUGGGCCGUAACUGACGCUGAGGCGCGAAAGCUAGGGGAGCAAACAGGAUUAGAUACCCCAGUAGUCC